rnacentral:rRNA from 1 species
CCCCUUCCAGAGUAUCAAUUGGAGGGCAAGUCUGGUGCCAGCAGCCGCGGUAAUUCCAGCUCCAAUAGCGUAUAUUAAACUUGUUGCAGUUAAAAAGCUCGUAGUUGAAUUUCUGCUGUUUCGUUGACUGCGUUUGGCGUUUGUCAUCGUUGCGGCUUGGUUGGGUUUCGAUUAUUCGUUUCCCGGCGUUUACUUUGAGAAAAUUAGAGUGCUUGAAGCAGGCUUUUGCCUUGAAUACUUUAGCAUGGAAUAACGGAGUAGGACUUUGGUUCUAUUUUGUUGGUUUUAGGAGCCAGAGUAAUGGUUAAUAGGAACAGUUGGGGGCAUUCGUAUUUGACUGUCAGAGGU